UACGUAGGGGGCAAGCGUUGUCCGGAAUCAUUGGGCGUAAAGCGCGUGUAGGCGGCCCGGUAAGUCCGCUGUGAAAGUCGAGGGCUCAACCCUAGAAAGCCGGUGGAUACUGUCGGGCUAGAGUGCGGAAGAGGCGAGUGGAAUUCCUGGUGUAGCGGUGAAAUGCGCAGAUAUCAGGAGGAACACCGAUUGCGAAGGCAGCUCGCUGGGACGCUACUGACGCUGAGACGCGAAAGCGUGGGGAGCAAACAGG
rnacentral:rRNA from 1 species